AUAGUUGUCAUAAAUAACCUUAAUCUUUUCAAUCUAUGUCCCCCUUGUCGUUUAUUCAAUGCUGUCACAAUAGAUUUAGCGUUGCUUACUUUUCAUUGAAAACAUUUGCCAAAUUGCAAAAAGUAAAAGGUUGUUUAAAAUUCGUUGAAAUUAAAAAUAAAGUUGCAAAGAAAACUGAGCAGGAAAAACAAGGCUUGCAUUCAAUUUUAUUGCACACGUUUAAUGGAAUGAUUUCAAUCGAGAUUGAGAUUGAAAACUUCUUCUGGUAUUACGCAUCUUAAAAGUCUUUGAAGAGUCACCAAGUCAACUUGCAACUUGAAUGAUUCAUGCUGUGCAUAAGAAAGUUUAACUGAGAACUCAAUGACAAAAACAAAACCGAAUAAAAAUACAAACGAAAAGAAGCGGAGAGAAGCGAUGAAGAUAGAGAUAGAGAUGAAGAUGGAGAAAAACAAGACGAGUUUACAAAGUGCCAGCAAGAAGUGGAAGCAGUCUGAUAAGUUAAACGAGUAUUUGCGCUUAGUAUCGCAGAGAGUCUCGGUAUCUGAAACUGUUGCUCUUGCUGUAUUUACGUGUUGUAUUUGUUGCGCUUCCGUUGUGGUCACUUGGUCAAGAUGCGAGACACAGACGUAGGCGAAGGCGAAUGCGAAGUUGAAGUCGUAGUCGAAGGCAGAUGCCAGAUAAGCGGAGCGUGAGAGCCAAAGAGACAGCAGCUCCAGAGGGAAAGGGACAGAUAGAGCAACAGAGAGAUGACUGCCGGACGCUGUCUACUUUGUAUCUGUAUCUGUAUUUGUAUAUGUAUCUGUAUCUGUAUCUGUAUCUGUUGCUCAGCAUGUUUUUCAUAUGGUAUGCUUUUGAGAUUAUUGGCGCUGCCCAUGCAACAUACAAACAUACAUAUGUACACACAUAUAAGUACACACUUAUAGUCGCCGAUAUUCAAGACGUUGACCUUUCGCUUGAUUCGACUCAAAAUAAAACAAACAGAGCACACAUUUCGUCCACAA